AAUACAUGCAAGUCGAGCGAGAAGGUGUAGCAAUACACUUGUAAAGCGGCGAACGGGUGAGGAAUGCAUGGGUAACCUACCCUCGAGUGGGGAAUAACUAGCCGAAAGGUUAGCUAAUACCGCAUACGUUUCCGGAACUUCGGUUUCGGAAAGAAAGCAAUACCGUGGGUAUUGCGCUCAUGGAUGGGCUCAUGUCCUAUCAGCUUGUUGGUGAGGUAACGGCUCACCAAGGCUUCGACGGGUAGCUGGUCUGAGAGGACGAUCAGCCACACUGGCACUGCGACACGGGGCCAGACUCCUACGGGAGGCAGCAGUAAGGAAAUAUUGCGCAAUGGACGAAAGUCUGACGCAGCGACGCCGCGUUGGGGGAUGAAAGGUCUUCGGAUUGUAAACCCCUUUCGGGAGGGAAGAUUGAGUUGGUAACACCUUGCCCGGACCUCCAGAAGCAGCCACNCGCUAAA
rnacentral:rRNA from 1 species